rnacentral:rRNA from 1 species
UUUUCGGACUGGCCCAGGGAGAGUGGCAACACUCACCCAGGGCCGGAAAGUUGUCCAAACUUGGUCAUUUAGAGGAAGUAAAAGUCGUAACAAGGUUUCCGUAGGUGAACCUGCGGAAGGAUCAUUACAGAGCGUGAGACUCUGCCCGGGCUUGCCCCGCGCGCAGAGUUGACCCUCCACCCGUGUUGACUUAUCUCAUGUUGCUUUGGCGGGCCAGGUGCCUCGCGCGCCGGCCGGCUCUGUGCUGGCUCGUGUCCGCCAAAGACCCAACCUAACUCGUGUUGUCGUGUAGUCUGAGGAAAACUAUUUGAAUUGUUAAAACUUUCAACAACGGAUCUCUUGGCUCUGGCAUCGAUGAAGAACGCAGCGAAAUGCGAUACGUAAUGUGAAUUGCAGAAUUUAGUGAAUCAUCGAAUCUUUGAACGCACAUUGCGCCCCUUGGCAUUCCGAGGGGCAUGCCUGUUCGAGCGUCGUCACACCCCCUCAAGCCGCGCCGUGUGUGUGGUUUGGUGUUGGGGCUCGCCCGUCGGGCGGCCCUUAAAGACAGUGGCGGUGCCGUGGUGGUCUCUACGCGUAGUACGAUUCUCGCGACAGAGCUGCUGUGGCCGCUUGCCAAUCAAUCCAUCAUCUCAAGGUUGACCUCGAAUCAGGUAGGGAUACCCGCUGAACUUAAGCAUAUCAAUAACCGGAGGAAAAGAAACCAACCGGGAUUACCUCAGUAACGGCAAGUGAA